UACGGAGGGGGCUAGCGUUGUUCGGAAUUACUGGGCGUAAAGCGCACGUAGGCGGCUUUGUAAGUUAGAGGUGAAAGCCUGGGGCUCAACUCCAGAACUGCCCUUAAGACUGCAUCGCUUGAAUCAUGGAGAGGCGGGUGGAAUUCCGAGUGUAGAGGUGAAAUUCGUAGAUAUUGGGAAGAACACCGGUGGCGAAGGCGGCUCUCUGGACCGAUACUGACGCUGAGGCGCGAAAGCGUGGGGAGCAAACAGG
rnacentral:rRNA from 1 species